UAUACUUUGAGAGUUGAAGGU
rnacentral:misc_RNA from 1 species